AAAAAAAAAAAAAAUCGAAAUCCAAAAAAGGGAAAGCAUAUGAAAAGAUAGUCACGAAAUGGAAAUAAUGGGAACAACAAUGAAUCUUCUAAGCCAAGCUCUUCCCGGAGCAUUAUCUGCAACUCAUCGUUGUUCCCUCAAAUUCACUCACCCAAUCCCUCCCCUUUUUACCCAUCGCCGGCCCACUAAACUCAGCCCAAUUAACGGCCCGUUAAAACCCCUCACUAUUGCUAACGCUGAAUCUUCUUCCGGUCAAAGUUCUACUGUUACUACUACGUCCGGGUCGGGUAACGGGUCGUCUUCUUUUGGCCCGGAUGAACCGAUUUCGUUUGUGGGUCAAGAUAGUGUUCCUCUUGAAGGGGUUAUACAGUUUGAGAAACCUGAUUCUAAUAACUUUAGGGACAAGCUUAAUAAAUGGGGCUGGGUGGCGUUGUUAGCUGGUGGAGAUGUUGCGGCUAUUUUAUUGUUCUCUGCAAUUGGAAGGUUCAGUCACGGAUUCUCUGUGUUUGAUCCUGAUACACUGCGAACUGCUGAUCCUUUCAUUGCUGGUUGGCUUUUGAGUGCAUAUUUCCUUGGAGGAUUUGGGGAGGAUGGUAGAGGAAAGAAUGGUCUGUUUAAGGCUUUCAUUGCUGCUACCAAAUCAUGGUCAUUAGGCAUUCCGGUGGGUUUAGCUAUAAGGGCUGCCAGUGUGGGUCAUAUACCACCAGUCAACUUCAUAAUAGUUACCAUGGGGAGUACUGCUGUAUUACUUAUUGGAUGGAGGACACUCUUGUUCAGUAUUUUACCAACCGACAAGCCGAAGAAGAAUGAUGUUUAUAAGAGCGGAAGCCCUUUUGAACUUUUUGAGUUGCUGACAUCGUUGGUAAGAAGAUGGUGAUUGUGGUAGCCGUGCAGGCGACGUUUUAUUGCUGAUUAUAUUAUUUCUAACGGAAAUUUUCCAGUGAUGUACAUGUCAUUUCUCGUUAUUUGUACAUGUAAGAGACUUGACUAGUGCAGUUUCCAUCCUUCCCUCAUUAUACUACAGGUUACUUAAAUUGGUGCACGAAAA